CCUACGGGUGGCAGCAGUGGGGAAUAUUGCACAAUGGGGGAAACCCUGAUGCAGCGACGCCGCGUGAAGGAAGAAGUAUUUCGGUAUGUAAACUUCUAUCAGCAGGGAAGAAAAUGACGGUACCUGACUAAGAAGCCCCGGCGAACUACGUGCCAGCAGCCGUGGUAAUACGUAGGGGGCAAGCGUUAUCCGGAGUUACUGGGUGUAAAGGGAGCGUAGGCGGCGGUGCAAGUCAGAGGUGAAAGCCCGGGGCUCAACUCCGGGACUGCUUUUGAAACUGCGUUGCUAGAGUGCAGGCGAGGUAGGUGGAAUUCCUAGUGUAGCGGUGAAAUGCGUAGAUAUUAGGAGGAACACCAGUGGCGAAGGCGGCUUACUGGACUGUAAAUGACGCUGAGGCUCGAAAGCGUGGGGAGCAAACAGGAUUAGAUACCCCGGUAGUC
rnacentral:rRNA from 1 species